rnacentral:rRNA from 1 species
UGGGGAAUAUUGCACAAUGGGCGCAAGCCUGAUGCAGCCAUGCCGCGUGUGUGAAGAAGGCCUUCGGGUUGUAAAGCACUUUCAGCGAGGAGGAAGGUGGUGAGCUUAAUACGCUCAUCAAUUGACGUUACUCGCAGAAGAAGCACCGGCUAACUCCGUGCCAGCAGCCGCGGUAAUACGGAGGGUGCAAGCGUUAAUCGGAAUUACUGGGCGUAAAGCGCACGCAGGCGGUUUGUUAAGUCAGAUGUGAAAUCCCCGGGCUCAACCUGGGAACUGCAUUUGAAACUGGCAAGCUAGAGUCUCGUAGAGGGGGGUAGAAUUCCAGGUGUAGCGGUGAAAUGCGUAGAGAUCUGGAGGAAUACCGGUGGCGAAAGGCGGCCCCCUGGACGAAGACUGACGCUCAGGUGCGAAAGCGUGGGGCAGCAAACAGGAUUAGAUACCCUGGUAGUCCACGCUGUAAAACGAUGUCGAUUUUGGAGGUUGUGCCCUUGAGGCGUGGCUUCCGGAGCUAACGCGUUAAAUCGACCGCCUGGGGAGUACGGCCGCAAGGUUAAAAACUCAAAGGAAUUGAC